CUGUUUUCUUACCAGAUUUUCUGAGGGUAUGUUUCACAACUAGCAUACUGCAAAACUUCAUGUGCUGUCAGUGUACAAUGACAGUCCGUACACUAUUACAGUAUGAAACAUCAUUGUUAGACUUCUUCACUGCCAUCAAUAUGACUAUUACAAUGAACAGCAAUAGCAUCGCUGACCAGUCUGACUGCUCCCAUUUAUUUCACCUUUUAUCAACUACCAGCAGUAUGAGGAACGAAAUGCAAAUUCAAUAAUCCUAUUGACUGAACUGUGGAAUUUUCUCCUUGAGAGAGAGGUUGAAUGCACUUAUGGAAAAAGAAGGAAGAUCUCUUGGCAGCUUUUGCGCUAUCUUUGUUCGCUGACGAAGACAGAGACCAUGACGGUUCUUGAACCGAGUACACCAACCCGCUGAUGUGAGAAACAUUGAUGGCUUUACUGACUUGUAUUUGUUAUCUUUCGACAUUUGCAGAGCACACAGAUUCCACUUCUAGUGACAAUGUACCCAUUUUGUCGACACUCAACAAUCCAAUUAUUGAGAUCUUUCUCCAGCUCAGGAAAUGAAGCGCACCUCAUUGGACGUUUUUUCUUGCUUCUUGGCAAGUCUUUUAGUGUUUUAUUUUUUGCCAUUCUCAUACUUGCUUCUCAUUGAUACAGAAUUCACAAGCAGCGGCGCAAUUAUUGUUUGCUUCUGCAUAUUCAACAACUUUAAGUUUGAACGCUGCAUGAUAAACAGACCUUUUUCUUUUGAUUUCACCAUUGUUCAUUUUAAAUAGUAUGAAAAUAGAUUAUUAUUAUUAUUGUAGUUAUAGAUUUUGUAGGACUUUAUAUAGGACUGUCACCUGCUUUAUCACUGUCACAUUAUUAUUGUUCUCUGUUUAUUUCAAAGCACCCCUGUAGAUUGGCAUGUCUGUACGGAUGGCAGACUAUUUCAAUUUUAUUAGAGAUUCCAUCGAUUCUGCACAUUGUAUUUUCAUAUUGGCUCGAGACUUACGUGGUCCAAUGGUAGAAAUGCAUGAAGAAAUCAAAUUACACAGUAGCGGACUGACACCAGUGCUAUAGUACUAUCGUUCAUUGUGUUUUUCUGAUUGGCUUGUAAGGCAUAGCAUUUUGUGAAAUGCAUGGGUCAAAUGUCAUGCAGAUCUGCAGCACUGCUCUUUUAGUAUUCCUUUCAAGCCAAUCUAGUCCACUAAAUAAAGCCUUUGCAACUUU